GUAGUGACAAUAAAUAACAAUACAGGGCUUUAUAGUCUUGUAAUUGGAAUGAGUACAAUUUAAAUCUCUUAACGAGGAACAAUUGGAGGGCAAGUCUGGUGCCAGCAGCCGCGGUAAUUCCAGCUCCAAUAGCGUAUAUUAAAGUUGUUGCAGUUAAAAAGCUCGUAGUUGAAUUUUAGGCCUGGUUGGACGGUCUGCUCUAGGGUUUGUACUGUCCUGACUGGGUCUUACCUUCUGGUGAGCUGUCGUAUUGUUUACUCAGUGCGGCAGGGAACCAGGACUUUUACUUUGAAAAAAUUAGAGUGUUUAAAGCAGGCAUUCGCUUGAAUACAUUAGCAUGGAAUAAUAGAAUAGGACUUUGGUUCUAUUUUGUUGGUUUCUAGGACCGAAGUAAUGAUUAAUAGGGAUAGUUGGGGGCAUUAGUAUUUAAUUGUCAGAGGUGAAAUUCUUGGAUUUAUUAAAGACUAACUUCUGCGAAAGCAUUUGCCAAGGAUGUUUUCAUUAAUCAAGAACGAAAGUUAGGGGAUCGAAGACGAUCAGAUACCGUCGUAGUCUUAACCAUAAACUAUGCCGACUAGGGAUCAGGCAAGGAUAUUUUGACUUGUUUGGCACCUUAUGAGAAA
rnacentral:rRNA from 2 species